rnacentral:rRNA from 1 species
GACGAACGCUGGCGGCGUGCUUAACACAUGCAAGUCGAACGGAGAAGCGCGUUCCUUUCUGGUGGGAGUGGAUGAGUGGCGAACGGGUGAGUAACACGUGAGUAACCUGCUACCUCCUGCAGGAUAACCGCAUGAAAGAGUGGCUAAUACGGGAUAUUUUGGGCCGGUUGCAUGAUGGGUGAGGGAAAGUUAUGGUUUCGGUGGGGGAUGGGCCCGCGGCCUAUCAGCUUGUUGGUGGGGUGACGGCCUACCAAGGCGGUGACGGGUAGCCGGCCUGAGAGGGUGGACCGUCACGCUGGGACUGAAACGCCGAGCAUCCUCCGGCGGGAGGCAGCAGGGAAGAUUCUUGCACGGUGGGAGGAAUGCUGAUGCAACGCCGCGGCGGGAAUGAUGGUGUCCGUCGCGUUGUGAUCCUCUUUCGGGGAUGAAGCAAUCUGUCCGCAUCUGUGCAUGUCUUGACGGUAGCUAAAUAAGAAGCGCCGGCUAACUACGUG